UGACUUAUGACUGGUUGAGUAGUCCUCGACUUAUGACUGGUUGGGGGUCGUGGCAUUAAAAAGGUUGAGAACCACUGGUGUAUAUGAAUGUAUGUUUGUUUCUUCAGAAGGACAGAUACUGAAGCUGAUGCUCAAGUACUUUGGCCACCAAAUGAGGACUCACUGGAAAAGACCUUGAUGUUGGGAAAGACUGAAGGCUAAAGGAGAAGGGGACAGCAGAGGAUGAGAUGGUUAGACUAUCCGUGCCAUGUGCUGGAUAGGAUUGGAAUCCAUUUAUCUAGAGCUGUAUGAAUAUUACAAUUUAAGACAUGAAAAAUCGCAGGAGAAAAACGCGCCAGAGCUGGAAAUCAGAACAAGUUUAAGAACAAAAUUUACAAAGAAUAAAAACAUAAUAUAAUGUAUAAUUCCAAACUUCUGGACGCCAUAGCAACAUGCUACUAUAAUUACGUCAAGAGUUCCAAGGAUAGAAUCUGAACACAAAAGAAAAUGUUUUUAAAAAUGCAUAAAUUACAUUGACUUGUUCAAUUUUUUUAAAAAAGAAAUUGCCAUUAUAACUUUAUCAAAUAACUCAUUAAUUCUCUAUGGAAGUCAUAUUCUAUCUGUCAUGCUAAAGAUUUUCACAUCUGUAUUUGUAUAGCUUGGAAACAGCUAUGCAGGAUGGAGCCAUUUAUGCAUCAGGAUCCAUGAACUAUGUAGGAUUGUCCUAUGAUCAAUAACCUUGUGGAUCCGAAGAUGAAGUCUAAUAUUCUCUAGUAUUCUCCUGUAAUCAAUGCUGUCUCUAAACAUUGUACCAGGCUGUGUGUAUAUAGGCACUUCCAUACUUUUUCUGUUAAAAUGGUCCCCCUCCCUGUUUAAAAAGGAUUCUUUGCAGGGAGACUGUCAGAGAAUUAUUAGAUGGAAAUCCCUUUUACUAAUAUUUUCAAAAAGAUGCCAGACUAGAAACAUGUAUACAGGUAGGCCUUAACUUAAAACCACAAUGGACACAAAAAUUUCCAUUGCUAAACCAAGUGAAUCGUGCCUGAUUUUAUGACCUUUUUUGCCACAGUUAAGUGGUUGCUAAGCAAAUCCAGAUUCCCUCAUGGAAUUUAUCGGAAGCUGCUGGGAAGGUCACAAAUGGCGAUCACAUGAUGCUGAGACUGCAACCAUCCUAAAUAUAUGCUGGUUGCCAAGUGCUCAAAUUUUGAUCAUGUGACUGGGGAGGGCGCAAUGGGUAUAAGAGCGAGGACUAGUCACUUUUUUUCAGCACCAUUGAGCAGAAAUUAAAUGAAUGAUCAUAUAGGUAGUCCUCAAUGUACGACCACAAUUGAGCCCAAAAUUUCUGUUGCUAAGUGAAACAUUUGUUAAGUGAAU